CCACACCGAUUCCUGUACGAUCACCGAAGUUAAGUAACGUAGAGCCUGCUCAGUACCUAUAUAGGUGACCGCUUGGAAAUACGUGGUGCUGUAA